GACGAACGCUGGCGGCGUGCUUAACACAUGCAAGUCGAACGGUGACGGAGAGCUUGCUCUCCUGAUCAGUGGCGAACGGGUGAGUAACACGUGGGCAACCUGCCCAGACUUCGGGAUAACGCUUCGAAAGAGGUGCUAAUACCGGAUACGAGCUCCUUGGGCAUCCUUGGAGUUGGAAAGUUUUCGGUCUGGGAUGGGCCCGCGGCCUAUCAGCUAGUUGGUGAGGUAACGGCUCACCAAGGCGACGACGGGUAGCCGGCCUGAGAGGGCGACCGGCCACACUGGGACUGAGACACGGCCCAGACUCCUACGGGAGGCAGCAGUGGGGAAUAUUGCGCAAUGGGCGAAAGCCUGACGCAGCAACGCCGCGUGAGGGAUGACGGCC
rnacentral:rRNA from 1 species